rnacentral:tRNA from 1 species
AGGACUAUAGUUUAAAUUUAAAACAUUUAAUUUGCAUUUAAAAAAUAUUAGAUAAACGCUACUAAUUUGUCUUA